rnacentral:rRNA from 1 species
GACGCUGGCGGCGUGGCUAAGACAUGCAAGUCGAACGGACUAUGUAAUUGAGUAAUCGAGCACAUAGUUAGUGGCGAAAGGGUUAGUAACGGCUAGGUAACGUACCCCAUGCUUCGGGAUAGCUAUCCGAAAGGAUAGGUAAUACCGGAUAAUAUCACAAUUCGAUAGUUUUGUGAUCAAAGAUUUAUCGGCAAGGGAGCGGCCUAGUUCCUAUCAGCUUGUUGGUGAGGUAAUGGCUCACCAAGGCUAUGACGGGUAGCGGGACUGAGAGGUUGGCCCGCAACAUCGGGACUGAGACACUGCCCGGACCUCCACGGAGGGCUGCAGUAACGAAUAUUGUGCAAUGGGCGAAAGCCUGACACAGCGACGCCGCGUGUAGGAGGAAGUCCCUCGGGAUGUAAACUACUGUCAGGGUAAAGAAAGUCUGUUUCGGCAGAUUGAUCUACCCCAGAGGAAGUCACGGCUAACUUCGUGCCAGCAGCCGCGGUAAUUC